GCGGGUGUAGCUCAGUUGGUUAGAGCGCCAGUUUGUGGUACUGGAUGCCGUGGGUUCAAAUCCCAUCACUCGCCCCA
rnacentral:tRNA from 1 species